GAUGAACGCUGGCGGCGUGCUUAACACAUGCAAGUCGAACGGAUGGAUUGGAGCUUGCUCCAUGAAGUUAGUGGCGGACGGGUGAGUAACGCGUGGGUAACUUGCCCUAUGCAGGGGGAUAACGUUUGGAAACGAACGCUAAUACCGCAUAAUCUAGUUGGUUCGCAUGAACCGAUUAGCAAAGAUUUUAUCGGCAUAGGAUGGACCCGCGUUAGAUUAGCUAGUUGGUGAGAUAACAGCCCACCAAGGCAACGAUCUAUAGCCGGCCUGAGAGGGGGAACGGCCACACUGGGACUGAGACACGGCCCAGACUCCUACGGGAGGCAGCAGUGGGGAAUAUUGCACAAUGGGCGCAAGCCUGAUGCAGCGACGCCGCGUGAAGGAUGAAGGUCUUCGGAUCGUAAACUUCUAUCAGCAGGGAAGAAACCAUGACGGUACCUGACUAAGAAGCCCCGGCUAACUACGUGCCAGCAGCCGCCGUAACAC
rnacentral:rRNA from 1 species